UAAAACACUUGCUGGUAUGAUAAUGCAGUAAAAGAAGAAGGUGACCCAGUGUGCAACAAUCUUCCUCACGAAGAAGAAAGCAUAGAUUAGAUGAAGUCUCUUCCAGAUCGACACCCUCUGCACAAAACAUACAUGAAAAGAUUUGAGAUUACUGACCUCACAGAGGAGGAUUUCUUUGGUCAUUUUCCUGAAGAGAUUAGCUGGGCCACAUGACCACCGGUGUUGCUGAAACCGAUAAGCCUUGAAGGGCAUGUGCUCGUUGUGCUCUUGCUCAGGUGGAAUGGAAACAUUGGAAUACAUGAAGCUGGUGCAUUUGGUUAAAAUAGACAAGGGAGCCCAAUGGCCAUGUUAUCUUCCUGUUGACUCAUAACGAUUUGCUGUAUAUAUAUUGCGUAGUGGAACUCUGGAUACAGCCUUUUCUACCAGGCAAAGCUAGCAGCAAGUCAAAUAUACAAUCAGAUGCGAAACUGUUCCUAGAAACCGAAAAAAGUGUGAAACACAAAAUGAUGUCGAUUACUCUAGUUUAUGCAGCAUGAAAACUGGGAUAAAAAUUCUGUCAAAGAAUCUCUCAUUCACAAAAAAAUAAAAACAAAUAAAAAUAAAUAACAAUAAUACAACAACGAAGAAGAGGAAGAAGAAGAAGACACCAAUGUUAUCAUGAUAUGCCGCGCGGUAUUUCCCCAAGAUGAAAGAUUGAAGAUGAGGGUACUUCUAUAUCUAGCGUGCCGAGCUUUGAGUCCCCAAAUUUAUCUGCCUCCAAUAUCAUAGAUUCCUCUAUGGCUUCCCAUAAUCGAAUAUCUAUGUGUUUGCGCUUUGGAAAUAAUAUCAGCAUGAUAUCGAUCUGUAGAUUUUGUAAUCCUCUAUGGUCCCUGUUGUGGAUAAGAAAGCUAAUUUCUGUUGCUAUUUGAGACCAUGGUUUUUUCUAAUUAAUUCAAACAGUUAAAUACCAUCUCUUUCCAGUGUA